UACGUAGGGCGCAAGCGUUGUCCGGAAUUAUUGGGCGUAAAGAGCUCGUAGGCGGCCUGUUGCGUCCGCUGUGAAAUCCCGGGGCUCAACCCCGGGCCUGCAGUGGAUACGGGCUGGCUAGAGGCAGGCAGGGGAGAACGGAAUUCCUGGUGUAGCGGUGAAAUGCGCAGAUAUCAGGAGGAACACCAGUGGCGAAAGCGGUUCACUGGCCCGGUACUGACGCUGAGGUGCGAAAGCGUGGGGAGCAAACAGG
rnacentral:rRNA from 1 species